rnacentral:rRNA from 1 species
AUCCUGGCUCAGGAUGACCUCUGGCGGCGUGCCUAACACAUGCAAGUCGAACGGAACUUUUACGGAUUGAGGCUUCGGCUGAUUGAGGUUUGUGUUUAGUGGCGGACGGGUGAGUAACGCGUGAGUAACCUGCCUUUCACAGGGGGAUAACGUUUGGAAACGAACGCUAAUACCGCAUAACAUAGCGAGGUCGCAUGGCUUUGCUAUCAAAGAUUUUAUCGGUGAGAGAUGGACUCGCGUCCGAUUAGAUAGUUGGUGAGGUAACGGCUCACCAAGUCGACGAUCGGUAGCCGGACUGAGAGGUUGAACGGCCACAUUGGGACUGAGACACGGCCCAGACUCCUACGGGAGGCAGCAGUGGGGAAUAUUGCACAAUGGGCGCAAGCCUGAUGCAGCAACGCCGCGUGAGGGAAGACGGUUUUCGGAUUGUAAACCUCUGUCUUUGGUGACGAAGAAGUGACGGUAGCCAAGGAGGAAGCCACGGCUAACUACGUGCCAGCAGCCGCGGUAAUACGUAGGUGGCAAGCGUUAUCCGGAAUUACUGGGUGUAAAGGGAGCGCAGGCGGGAUCGCAAGUCAGCGGUGAAAAUUACGGGCUCAACCCGUAAACUGCCGUUGAAACUGUUAUUCUUGAGUGGAGUAGAGGCAGGCGGAAUUCCGAGUGUAGCGGUGAAAUGCGUAGAUAUUCGGAGGAACACCAGUGGCGAAGGCGGCCUGCUGGGCUCUAACUGACGCUGAGGCUCGAAAGUGUGGGGAGCAAACAGGAUUAGAUACCCUGGUAGUCCACACUGUAAACGAUGA